rnacentral:rRNA from 1 species
AGCAGCCGCGGUAAUUCCAGCUCCAAUAGCGUAUAUUAAAGUUGUUGCAGUUAAAAAGCUCGUAGUUGAAUUUCGGGGUUAGUAGGCUGGUCGUGCCACAGGUAUGCACUGGUCUUACUGACUUCUCCUUUCUGAAGAACUGUAAUGCCAUUAAUUUGGUGUUGCAGGGAAACAGGACUGUUACUUUGAAAAAAUUAGAGUGUUUAAAGCAGGCUAACGCUUGAAUACAUUAGCAUGGAAUAAUGAAAUAGGACGUUCGAUCCUAUUUUGUUGGUUUCUAGGAUUGACGUAAUGAUUAAUAGGGAUAGUUGGGGGCAUUAGUAUUCAAUUGUCAGAGGUGAAAUUCUUGGAUUUAUUGAAGACUAACUACUGCGAAAGCAUUUGCCAAGGAUGUUUUCAUUAAUCAAGAACGAAAGUUAGGGGAUCUAAGACGAUCAGAUACCGUCGUAGUCUUAACCAUAAACUAUGCCGACUAGGGAUCGGAUGAUGUUAAUUUUUUAAUGACUCA